rnacentral:tRNA from 1 species
AUUAGGUUUAAACUCUAAAAAUGAUAUAAAUUUAUAUCUUAUAUUA